rnacentral:rRNA from 1 species
UACGGGGGGAGCAAGCGUUGUUCGGAUUUACUGGGCGUAAAGGGCGCGUAGGCGGCCACCGCAAGUCGGUUGUGAAAUCUCUGGGCUUAACCCAGAAAGGUCAACCGAUACUGCGGGGCUAGAGUGCAGAAGGGGCAACUGGAAUUCUCGGUGUAGCAGUGAAAUGCGUAGAUAUGCGGAGGAACACCGAUGGCGAAGGCAAUCCCCUGGACCUGUACUGACGCUCAUGCACGAAAGCGUGGGGAGCAAACAGG